UAAAACAAAUAAUAAUCUGCAAAAAUUGAACUGGCUUGAAUGGCCUUACUGCAGAGCAAUUACUGUACAUAAUGAAAUAUAAGUGUCACUGUCGUUUGAUGGUGGAUGUGGUGAAUAGCGAUCAAAAUGUUUGAAGAUGCUGAAAACGAUAGUUUUGAGAAUAUAUUGAGAUCGUGAAUAUGAGCCAGAUGCUGAAUGUAUACUGGGGAAAUGUGCUCUGACGAUGGCAGUGGUGGUAAAAUCAUCUGCUCAAAUCGAUCCCUUCUAAGUUUCAAAAGCAAUGGCGGAUCAUGGAGCCGCUCAAUAGUUCCCGGAAGUUAGCUCUCAUACUAUCAGCGCCAUUGAGAUGCAGCAGAAGAGACCGCUUUGAUGAACUUUUAAAAGAACAAGAACCACCUGAAGACUCCCUGUAAUGAGAUGUCACCCUCACAAUGAGUCUCUUCACUGGGUUUGGCAAGUCUUUCACUGUUCUUUGUGAAAAAGUGCCAGUUCCCAUAUGAUUACAUCACAUUUUGUUGGUGUAAUCUAUAGAUUGCUCCUGCUGACUAUAUCCAGCAUCUUAUGAAGACUUCAGAUGACCAGCACCUGUGAAGAGAUGACGCCAGCCCUUGAGAGGACUUCAGAUGAAGCUGUCUCUGACUCUGAAUAAACAUACAAAACUGAUCAAUUUCCCUUGCAUUGUAAUCAACAUGAUCAAAUCACGUAACCGUUGCUUUAAUUUAUUCAUUGUUUCUGAACUCA